CUGUUGAUCAGAGUGGACGGUAAAGACUUCCUGUACAGUGACAUAUCGGUUACGGUGUUUCCGAUAGAGCGUUUGCUUUUCCUGUUGAGGACACACUUCGAAACUUACAUGCCUUCAGAUGGUAAGGACGAGCUUGUAAAAGCUGUAAGGGAACGAGAUGUCAAAAAAGUCUACGAGAUCAUCCGGCAGGCUUAUCAGGAUUUCAACGAAUUUACAAGUGCAUCGCUCGGCGUAGAUUGCAACUUUAACUUGUUUGUCGUAGACGCCAAUGGAGACAGGAGGACUUUAGACCCACACGAUUUAACUGAAGAAAUUAUUGCCAACG